rfam:Fusarium verticillioides 7600 chromosome 1, whole genome shotgun sequence.
GCCCUUGUAGCUCAGUGGUAGAGCGUUGCACUUGUAAUGCAAAGGUCCAUAGUUCAAUCCUGUGCGGGGGCA